UGAGGAAUAUUGGUCAAUGGACGGAAGUCUGAACCAGCCAAGUAGCGUGCAGGAUGACGGCCCUAUGGGUUGUAAACUGCUUUUGUAUGGGGAUAAAGUCAAUCACGUGUGAUUGUUUGCAGGUACCAUACGAAUAAGGACCGGCUAAUUCCGUGCCAGCAGCCGCGGUAAUACGGAAGGUUCGGGCGUUAUCCGGAUUUAUUGGGUUUAAAGGGAGCGUAGGCCGGAGAUUAAGUGUGUUGUGAAAUGUAGACGCUCAACGUCUGACUUGCAGCGCAUACUGGUUUCCUUGAGUACGCACAACGUUGGCGGAAUUCGUCGUGUAGCGGUGAGAUGCUUAGAUAUGACGAAGAACUCCGAUUGCGAAGGCAGCUGACGGGAGCGCAACUGACGCUGAAGCUCGAAGGUGCGGGUAUCGAACAGGAUUAGAUACCCUGGUAGUCCGCACAGUAAACGAUGGAUGCCCGCUGUUGGUACCUAGUAUCAGCGGCUAAGCAAAAGCAUUAAGCAUCCCACCUGGGGAGUACGCCGGCAACGGUG
rnacentral:rRNA from 1 species